rnacentral:misc_RNA from 1 species
UGAUGCUGCUUACAAGGCUGUUGAUAGCUUAGUCCAGAUACCGGUAACUCUUGUAGAGUACACAAUGAAUUCUGUAACGGAAGGAAUCGACGCCAUCGCUUCCACGCGAGUUGUGAUUCGUGGUGACAACAGCAGCCAUUCUUCGACACAUGCUUCAACUGGAGAAACUGUUUGUCGCACAUUCAGUGGUAGUGGGGCAGGAAUGGACAUUGUUGUUUCCAGUGUCCGGGCUUAUGUGAGCGCACUGAACAAGAUGCUCGGUUUCAGGGAGUCUUCCGCAGCAAAAGCUGCCAGCCAAGGGUUGCAAGCCUCUAAGUGAGGUAUCCUUG